UUUCUAUUAAAUAAGUGAAUGAAUAAAAACUAAAACCUAAAUAAAACUAAAUCAUAUCCAUUUUUCACUCAUCGAAUAGGCAAACAUUUUCAACCCUAAUCUUUUCUAUCCUCCACAGCCUUCCCCAAACGCUGCAUCUUCUGCCGCCACAGGAGCUACCAUGAAUAGAGACGUGGCAACCAGAACGACCACGCCAGGGCAUCCAUAGACGUGGCAACCAGAGCGACCAGGGCACGGCAUUCAGAGACGUGCUUUCUCCUCGGCGUUCCACAUACAAAAUUCGACGGCAUGGCUCGUAUGGUGGUAUAGAUCCCUACAGUUUGCAACUGUGUCUGUUGACACAAGAAAUGAAAUGGUUUGCAACCCUUUCGAGCAGGGCCCAAAUUUGGUGGUUGCUGAACAUUUAUAUUCAGAAGCUGGCUAUUAGAGGAUGAAAAGUUGAACAAUUGUGAAUGAGUGAUGGGACUGUUUUGCCUCACAAGUUGGUCAACCAAAUAUCAGUGAUUUGACACUUUAUCAUGUAAAAAUGUACAAAUUGUAAUACAAUAUUUUAUAUUUGUUUUAUAAAAUUGUACAACUAUUAAUAUAAUCAUUUUACAACUGUAUUUUAUAUCA